rnacentral:rRNA from 1 species
CAGGGAAUCUUGCGCAAUGGGCGAAAGCCUGACGCAGUGACGCCGCGUGAGGGAUGAAUGCCUUCGGGUUGUAAACCUCUUUCAGGAGGGACGAAGCGAAAGUGACGGUACCUCCAGAAGAAGCCCCGGCCAACUACGUGCCAGCAGCCGCGGUAAUACGUAGGGGGCAAGCGUUGUCCGGAUUUAUUGGGCGUAAAGAGCUCGUAGGCGGUUGUGCAAGUCGGAUGUGAAAGCCCGAGGCUCAACUUCGGGAUGCCAUUCGAUACUGCAUGACUAGAGGCAGGUAGGGGAAAGUGGAAUACCUGGUGUAGCGGUGAAAUGCGCAGAUAUCAGGUGGAACACCGGUGGCGAAGGCGGCUUUCUGGGCCUGUCCUGACGCUGAGGAGCGAAAGCUAGGGGAGCAAACAGG